AGUGAACGCUGGCGGUAGGCCUAACACAUGCCAGUCGAACGGCAGCACAGUAAGAGCUUGCUCUUACGGGUGGCGAGUGGCGGACGGGUGAGGAAUACAUCGGAAUCUACUUUUUCGUGGGGGAUAACGUAGGGAAACUUACGCUAAUACCGCAUACGACCUACGGGUGAAAGCAGGGGAUCUUCGGACCUUGCGCGAUUGAAUGAGCCGAUGUCGGAUUAGCUAGUUGGCGGGGUAAAGGCCCACCAAGGCGACGAUCCGUAGCUGGUCUGAGAGGAUGAUCAGCCACACUGGAACUGAGACACGGUCCAGACUCCUACGGGAGGCAGCAGUGGGGAAUAUUGGACAAUGGGCGCAAGCCUGAUCCAGCCAUACCGCGUGGGUGAAGAUGGCCUUCGGGUUGUAAAGCCCUUUUGUUGGGAAAGAAAAGCAGCAGGUUAAUACCCCGCUGUUCUGACGGUACCCAAAGAAUAAGCACCGGCUAACUUCGUG
rnacentral:rRNA from 1 species